ensembl:lncRNA
ACUACUGCUCUAAUAACACUGACCAACCCAAGGUAAUAUACUACUGCUCUAAUAACACUGACCAACCCAAGGUAAUAUACUACUGCUCUAAUAACACUGACCACCCCAAGGUAAUAUACUACUGCUCUAAUAACACUGACCACCCCAAGGUAAUAUACUACUGCUCUAAUAACACUGACCACCCCAAGGUAAUACACUACUGCUCUAAUAACACUGACCACCCCAAGGUAAUAUACUACUGCUCUAAUAACACUGACCACAGUGUAAGGAGUAGGACUGAUUCUCUGUGUUGUUCAUACUCUAGGUUCUCCACACUCAACUGGUGAACCAGCACUGACCACCGAGUAAGAGAUGAUAACUACUAUGACAAUAAGGCUCCAAUUUUCAGUGCAUUCAACCUCUAUCCCUACAGGUUAUUGUCAUUGAUGGUGGUAUUCAACAAAGUUGAAUUAAGCUGAAUAAUGUCAGUAUAUUAUUUAGGAUUGUGAUGUUCUGUGAUAUGACUAUUUAACCCUGUAGGUACUGGUAUUAACCAUGAUAUCUGACUGUUUUUAACCCUGUAGGUACUGGUAUUAACCAUGAUAUCUGACUGUUGUUAACCCUGUAGGUACUGGUAUUAACCAUGAUAUCUGACUGUUAUUAACCCUGUAGGUACUGGUAUUAACCAUGAUAUCUGAU